CGGGACGUGGCGCAGCUUGGUCAGCGCGCCGCGUUCGGGACGCGGAGGCCGCCGGUUCGAGUCCGGCCAGCCCGAC
rnacentral:tRNA from 1 species